rnacentral:ncRNA from 2 species
CCGCAAUUGCCGUAGCAGGGUUUCGGGCACGCAAAAGUGUCCGGAUGAAAAAGGAACCGUGUGCAACUCACGGGCUGACGCGCAACUGUAAGUAACUGCCGCUGGGCUACCCACACCACGCCAUUACGGCCCUCGCGGCCGUGAGAAGGCGGGUAGUCUCGUUACAAGCCAGGAGACUUGCCGUGCUACGACGUGACAU